rnacentral:rRNA from 1 species
GCGGCAGGCUUAACACAUGCAAGUCGAGGGGUAUAGGUUUUCGGAUCUAGAGCCGGCGCACGGGUGCUAACGCGUAUGAAUCUACCUUUUACAGAGGGAUAGCCCAGAGAAAUUUGGAUUAAUACCUCAUAGCAUAGCAGCUUCGCAUGAAGCAGCUAUUAAAGUCACAACGGUAAAAGUGAGCAUGCGUCCCAUUAGCUAGUUGGUAAGGUAACGGCUUACCAAGGCUACGAUGGGUAGGGGUCCUGAGAGGGAGAUCCCCCACACUGGUACUGAGACACGGACCAGACUCCUACGGGAGGCAGCAGUGAGGAAUAUUGGACAAUGGGCGCAAGCCUGAUCCAGCCAUGCCGCGUGCAGGAUGACGGUCCUAUGGAUUGUAAACUGCUUUUGUACGAGAAGAAACAUCCCGACGUGUCGGGACUUGACGGUAUCGUAAGAAUAAGGAUCGGCUAACUCCGUGCCAGCAGCCGCGGUAAUACGGAGGAUCCAAGCGUUAUCCGGAAUCAUUGGGUUUAAAGGGUCCGUAGGCGGUUUGGUAAGUCAGUGGUGAAAGCCCAUCGCUCAACGGUGGAACGGCCAUUGAUACUGCCAGACUUGAAUUAUUAGGAAGUAACUAGAAUAUGUAGUGUAGCGGUGAAAUGCUUAGAGAUU